UCGAGCGAACAGAUAAGGAGCUUGCUCCUUUGACGUUAGCGGCGGACGGGUGAGUAACACGUGGGUAACCUACCUAUAAGACUGGAAUAACUCCGGGAAACCGGGGCUAAUGCCGGAUAACAUUUAGAACCGCAUGGUUCUAAAGUGAAAGAUGGUUUUGCUAUCACUUAUAGAUGGACCCGCGCCGUAUUAGCUAGUUGGUAAGGUAACGGCUUACCAAGGCAACGAUACGUAGCCGACCUGAGAGGGUGAUCGGCCACACUGGAACUGAGACACGGUCCAGACUCCUACGGGAGGCAGCAGUAGGGAAUCUUCCGCAAUGGGCGAAAGCCUGACGGAGCAACGCCGCGUGAGUGAUGAAGGUCUUCGGAUCGUAAAACUCUGUUAUUAGGGAAGAACAAAUGUGUAAGUAACUGUGCACGUCUUGACGGUACCUAAUCAGAAAGCCACGGCUAACUACGUGCCAGCAGCCGCGGUAAUACGUAGGUGGCAAGCGUUAUCCGGAAUUAUUGGGCGUAAAGCGCGCGUAGGCGGUUUCUUAAGUCUGAUGUGAAAGCCCACGGCUCAACCGUGGAGGGUCAUUGGAAACUGGGAAACUUGAGUGCAGAAGAGGAAAGUGGAAUUCCAUGUGUAGCGGUGAAAUGCGCAGAGAUAUGGAGGAACACCAGUGGCGAAGGCGACUUUCUGGUCUGUAACUGACGCUGAUGUGCGAAAGCGU
rnacentral:rRNA from 1 species